GACGAACGCUGGCGGCGUGCUUAACACAUGCAAGUCGAACGGAAAGGCCCUGCUUUUGUGGGGUGCUCGAGUGGCGAACGGGUGAGUAACACGUGAGUAACCUGCCCUUGACUUUGGGAUAACUUCAGGAAACUGGGGCUAAUACCGGAUAGGAGCUCCUGCUGCAUGGUGGGGGUUGGAAAGUUUCGGCGGUUGGGGAUGGACUCGCGGCUUAUCAGCUUGUUGGUGGGGUAGUGGCUUACCAAGGCUUUGACGGGUAGCCGGCCUGAGAGGGUGACCGGCCACAUUGGGACUGAGAUACGGCCCAGACUCCUACGGGAGGCAGCAGUGGGGAAGAUUGCACAAUGGGCGGAAGCCUGAUGCAGCAACGCCGCGUGCGGGAUGACGGCCUUCGGGUUGUAAGCCGCUUUCGCCUGUGACGAAGCGUGAGUGACGGUAAUGGGUAAAGAAGCACCGGCUAACUACGUG
rnacentral:rRNA from 1 species